rnacentral:rRNA from 1 species
AUAAAAUUUCACACCCAUCGGGCAAAACGGAAUCCGGUUCCUAUUCCGGAACCCGGCAGCGAAACCGUUUACAAGUCGGGCCCUCGCAAGAGAGUUCGUCGGGGUAACCCAAAAUGACCUGGAGACGCCGUCGGGAAAUACGGGAAGAGUUUUCUUUUCUGUAGGAGCGUUCGAGUUCCCUGGAAUCCUCUAGAAGGGAGAUAGGGUUUGGAACGCGAAGAGUACCGCUGUUGCGGCGGUGUCCGUAUCUUCCCCUCGGACCUUGAAAAUCCAGGAGAGGGCCACGGUAGGUGUCGCGCCGGUUCGUACCCAUAUCCGCAGCAGGUCUCCAAGGUGAAGAGCCUCUAGUCGAUAGAUAAAUGUAGGUAAGGGAAGUCAGCAAAUUGGAUCCGUAACUUCGGGAUAAGGAUUGGCUCUGAGGAUCGGGGCGUGCCGGGCUUGGUUGGGAAGCGGGCGUAGGCCGAUGUGCCGGGUCUGGGCAAGGUGAAAUUGUCCUUGUGACUUAGAUCCGAGCUCGGUCCCGUGUCUAGGCCCCUCGCGAAUCUUUCUUGCUGCGAGGUUUCUGUGCCGGCUUCGGUCAGUCAGUCGUACUCUUCGGCCGCCAUUCAACGGUCAGCUCAGAACUGGCACGGACUAAGGGAAUCCGACUGUCUAAUUAAAACAAAGCAUUGCGAUGGCCCUAGCGGGUGUUGACGCAAUGUGAUUUCUGCCCAGUGCUCUGAAUGUCAACGUGAAGAAAUUCAAGUAAGCGCCGGUAAACGGCGGGAGUAACUAUGACUCUCUUAACUUUGACUGGUCGAAACCAGGAAGUAUCCCGACACUGGGACAGAUUUAGCCAAAUGCCUCGUCAUCUAACUAGUGACGCGCAUGAACGGAUUAACGAGAUUCCCACUGUCCCCAUCUACUUUCUAGCGAAACCACUGCCAAGGGAACGGGCUUGGAAAAAUUAGCGGGGAAAGAAGACCCUGUUGAGCUUGACUCUAGUCUGGCAUUGUAAGAAGACAUGAAAGGUGUAGCAUAAGUGGGAGAUAGUAAUAUCGUCGGUGAAAUACCACUACUUUCAUCGUUUCUUUACUUACUUGAUUGGGCGGAAAACGUGCGUCAAAAACUUGCGUUUCGACUGUCACGGUUUUCUAGAGCCAAGCGCAUAAGAGUGGUGUGAGCCAUUGCGCCGAUCGCCAACAAUACUCUAGCGUGAUCUGAUUCGAGGAAACUGCUAGGCGGGGAAUUUGACUGGGGCGCUACAUCUGUCAAAUAAUAACGCAGGUGUCGUAAGGCCAGCUCAUCGAGGACAGAAACCUGGCGUAGAGCAAAAGGGCAAAUGCUGGCUUGAUCCCGUUGCUCAGUGUGCACAGAGACUGCGAAAGCAUGGCCUAUCGAUCCUUUUGGCUUGAAGAGUUUUCAGCAAGAGGUGUCAGAAAAGUUACCACAGGGAUAACUGGCUUGUGGCAGCCAAGCGUUCAUAGCGACGUUGUUUUUGAUCCUUCAAUGUCGGCUCUUCCUAUCAUUGCGAAGCAGAAUUCGCCAAGCGUUGGAUUGUUCACCCACAAAUAGGUAACGUGAGCUGGGUUUAGACCGUCGUGAGACAGGUUAGUUUUACCCUACUGAUGAAUCGUCGUUGCGAUAGUAAUCCUGCUCAGUACGAGAGGAACCGCAGGUUCGGACAUUUGGUUCACGCACUCGGUCGAGCGGCCGGUGGUGCGAAGCUACCAUCCGUGGGAUUAUGCCUGAACGCCUCUAAGGCCGUAUCCUUUCUAGACAAAGUAAGCAACGAUAUCUCUAAGAGUCUCGUGAGUCGAAAGGCUCAAUACAAUGUGAUUUAUUAGGUAUUCGGCACACGCCGUUUAUCGCACGAGCCAUUUUAGCCGAAUGAGGCGCUGGACAGGGGCGAUAUCCGUCCGUUAUAUCUGUCUUGCCUAUAGCGGUCGAUCAUGGGUCACUAGUUCGAUGUAGAGACUCGGAAUCGUUUGUAAACGACUUAGGUACCUGGCGGGGUGUGUACUCGGCAGAGCAGUUACCACGCUG